rnacentral:rRNA from 1 species
UACGUAGGGUGCGAGCGUUAAUCGGAAUUACUGGGCGUAAAGCGUGCGCAGGCGGUUUUGUAAGCCAGGGGUGAAAUCCCCGGGCUCAACCUGGGAAUGGCAUUUGGGACUGCAAGGCUGGAGUGCGGCAGAGGAGACUGGAAUUCCUGGUGUAGCAGUGAAAUGCGUAGAUAUCAGGAGGAAUACCGAUGGCGAAGGCAGGUCUCUGGGCUGAAACUGACGCUCAUGCACGAAAGCGUGGGGAGCAAACAGG